AUUCACUGCAGGGCUCUAGGACCCAGAGACGUCAGGAUGGUGGUUCUUGAUAUCAGUCUACCAACUGGAUUCACCCCAGAAAACUCUGACCUGGAGAUGCUGUCCAAUUCAGUGCAUCGUUACAUCAGUAACUUCCAGAUUGUAGACAACCUGAGUGACAGAGGCUCCCUGAUCAUUCACCUGUUCAAAUGUCCCUGAUAGCAGAGCUGGAUGCUUCAGAUCUGUGGUGGUUCUCCCACCAACUGGCCUAAUCUCCAUCUGUGGGAUGCAUCUGCUGCUGACCUUCCUCCUGCCCACUGCUUCCAGCUUCCCAUUUCCAUCAAUCUACUCUGCAUCACCCUCACUAUACUUGAUUUGCUCAUCUACAUAUUUUUGAAUUUACCACCAGCUAUAUAUAUAGUAUAUUUAAUGCCAGAGCCAUACACCAUAGCAGUAAACUAUAAUCAGUUUCCAGCCCAGAGGGAUAUAUGCGCAUAUUUUUUUAAAUACCAUGAAGAAGACUAUAUACAGGAAGAUGAGGUAUCAGUUCUUGCACAUAGAUAUACAACAGUCCUUUAUUACUCCCCAGGUCAGGGGAAAUUUCCAGUGUUAGAGCAGCAAAAAUCUUUCAGAGCAGCACUAACUACAGUUUACUACAGUAAAGAUAAUUAUAAUAACAAUAAUAUAUACAAGAAUGAAAAAUGAAUAAAUACAGUAUUACUACACUAUAAGUGACAUCAGCAUAAAGUGGCUUGUGGAAUACAUUUAAAGUGCAGAAAAUGCCAGCAGUACAAGGAGUUGUGGAUAUUUUCUCAAAACAGGUGAGUCCUGUGAAUAUGACCAACAUAUGAGAUAAAACUACCAGAAACAUGUACAAAAUGACCAAAAUAUGAUUGGUUGAUAAUGUAUCAGUGUUGUUACUGAUUAUUGAUCGGUUGCAGGGACAGAGAUUUGUGUCUGAGUCUCUGCUGUCAUCUAAUCUCUCUCAUGCAAGAUCAUGUCACAGGAGGGGGCGCUACUGGCCUCUUGUGGACACAGGCGGUAACGACAUGACAUUAUUAAUAACUGUAUAGCUGGCAACAUUACAGUUGAGGAGCACUUCCUGUUCAUGUUCAACGUAAAAGCAUCUUUAUUGUACAUUUAAUGUCAAAAGUAUUACUAAGCGAUUUUGGUAGAUUCAGAAGGAUCUCUGAUGUAAACUAAGUUGCAUUUAACGACAGCUAGCUUCUCCACUUGCUCCAAUUACUUUUGUUGUAGUCCGAGUCACGUCCAAACAGGAAAUGAAUUCAUAAUGUAGCUAAUGACAAUCUAUAGCUGCAUCUGUGAUGGCAGCGUUAGCGAGCUAGCAGCUAAUCAGAAGCUAGUGACAAGCUAACUCCAGCGCUACAAGCAGCGUCUCUUUAAAAGGUGCUGAUCACGCUAUCAGGCUGAAACGUGAGACCUGGGACAGGGAAAGGAGCUAGAGCGCUGUGUCUUGCAGAGGAUUUAUUUUAGAACUACGCAUGUUAAGGUAUUAGUCCGUGUCAUAGCGAAUCCUCGUUAGCACUUCCGCUAGCUCGGCUAAUACUUCCGUUCACGACUGCAUUUGUAAAUUAGGUAUAACGUGUUCAUUUUUGAACGUAUAGUGACAACAAACACAAUUUGAGACUGUCGACAAGCUAGUGGUCCUUAAAUAGAUUUUGUUUCAUACUGCAGAUUCUUCUGAGUCUCACAAAACCACGUUUUAGCAUAAUAGCAUUACUAUAGUUUUACGUAUAAUAAACCCCAUGACAAUUGUUAACUUCAGGCCCAAUUUGCUGCAUUACUGUGUUUUCUAAUUGUCUGAAAACAAAUACCUCUGGAUUUUGGACUGUUUUUCAGAACGACCAAACACGCGUUUAGAUAUCAUCUUGGCUUUUCAGAACUUACGUUCACAUUCUUUUUUUUUUUUUUUUUUUUUUGCCAUUUUAGCUGUGCUUCGUUCCUCUUCUGUCAUCCUAGUGCACUGUGUGUUAUCUGUGAUUUUUUUGUUCCUUUUUUUCCCUUUACUGGCAUAUUAAAGGGAAAAAAUACAAAAAUACAAAUGGACGAUUAUUAUUAUUAUUAUUAUUAUUAUUAUUAUUAUUGUUAUUAUUAUUUUUACUAAAAAAAAAAAAAAAAGACUAAACUGAAUUGAAGUGAAAGACACUAUUUCCCCAGUUGAAUUGGCAGUCACCUGUUUGAUAAAUAAAGUGCAACUUCUUCUGUCACACUACAUGAAUUGCA